rnacentral:rRNA from 1 species
GUAUUGGCCUACCGUGGCAAUGACGGGUAACGGGGAAUUAGGGUUCGAUUCCGGAGAGGGAGCCUGAGAAACGGCUACCACAUCUAAGGAAGGCAGCAGGCGCGCAAAUUACCCAAUCCUAAUACAGGGAGGUAGUGACAAGAAAUAACAAUACAGGACUUUUUGGUUUUGUAAUUGGAAUGAGUUAAGUAUAAACCCCUUUACAAGUAUCAAUUGGAGGGCAAGUCUGGUGCCAGCAGCCGCGGUAAUUCCAGCUCCAAUAGCGUAUAUUAAAGUUGUUGCAGUUAAAAAGCUCGUAGUUGGAUUUCUGUUAAUAAUUUAUAUAAAAUAUUUUGAUGAAUAUUUAUAUAAUAUUAACAUAAUUCAUAUUACUAUAUUUUUUAGUAUAUGAAAUUUUACUUUGAGAAAAUUAGAGCGCUUAAAGCAGGCAUAUGCCUUGAAUACUCCAGCAUGGAAUAAUAUUAAAGAUUUUUAUCUUUUUUAUUGGUUCUAAGAUAAGAAUAAUGAUUAAUAGGGACAGUUGGGGGCAUUUGUAUUUAA